rnacentral:rRNA from 1 species
UGGGGAAUAUUGCACAAUGGGCGCAAGCCUGAUGCAGCCAUGCCGCGUGUAUGAAGAAGGCCUUCGGGUUGUAAAGUACUUUCAGCGGGGAGGAAGGGAGUAAAGUUAAUACCUUUGCCCAUUGACGUUACCCGCAGAAGAAGCACCGGCUAACUCCGUGCCAGCAGCCGCGGUAAUACGGAGGGUGCAAGCGUUAAUCGGAAUUACUGGGCGUAAAGCGCACGCAGGCGGUUUGUUAAGUCAGAUGUGAAAUCCUCGGGCUCAACCUGGGAACUGCAUCUGAUACUGGCAAGCUUGAGUCUCGUAGAGGGGGGUAGAAUUCCAGGUGUAGCGGUGAAAUGCGUAGAGAUCUGGAGGAAUACCGGUGGCGAAGGCGGCCCCCUGGACAAAGACUGACGCUCAGGUGCGAAAGCGUGGGGAGCAAACAGG